rnacentral:rRNA from 1 species
CGUAGCUAUACCGCAUGAUGCAGUUGGGUCGCAUGACCCUGACUGCCAAAGAUUUAUUACGCUCUGAGAUGGCCUCGCGUCUGAUUAGCUAGUUGCGGGGUAACGGCCCACCAAGGCGACGAUCAGUAGCCGGACUGAGAGGUUGCCGGCCACAUUGGGACUGAGACACGGCCCAGGACUCCUACGGGAGGCAGCAGUGGGGAAUAUUGGGCAAUGGGCGCAAGCCUGACCGAGCAACGCCGCGUGAGUGAAGAAGGUUUUCCGGAUCGUAAAACUCUGUUGGUAGAGAAGAACGUUGGUGAGAGUGGAAAGCUCAUCAAGUGACGGUAACUACCCAGAAAGGGACGGCUAACUACGUGCCAGCAGCCGCGGUAAUACGUAGGUCCCGAGCGUUGUCCGGAUUUAUUGGGCGUAAAGCGAGCGCAGGUGGUUUAUUAAGUCUGGUGUAAAAGGCAGUGGCUCAACCAUUGUAUGCAUUGGAAACUGGUAGACUUGACGUAGCCAGGAGAGGACGAGUCG